rnacentral:snoRNA from 1 species
CGGGUGUCCUCGGAGCAAAGGGCUUAAAGAAUGACUCUUCUGUUUACGCUUUCGACAGAAAUCUGGAGCCACUGUGGUAAGAAGCAAAAAUUGUGGCUUUGCUGUGAGCAAAUAUCCUACCCAA